rnacentral:misc_RNA from 1 species
GGUCCCUACGUUUUCCAACAAGAAUACCAGUGUUAGCUAUGCAAAUAAUCUGGGACUCUGUGGAGAACCAUUAUCGAGAUCCUGCCCCGGUGUUCCAAGAAAAUCCAGUGUCGGAAUAAUUGCUGCUGCAGCCGCUGGUGGGAUAACAUUUACAGCUAUUAUUGUGGGUAUUCUUCUCUACUACUUCUCUCGUGGAGCGGCUAAGAAGAAGGAAGAUGACCCUGAAGGUAACAAGUGGGCCAAGAGCAUAAAAGGAACUAAAGGCAUCAAGGUUUCCAUGUUCGAGGAGUCCAUUACGAAGAUGAGGUUGAGUGAUCUCAUGAAGGCAACUAACAACUUUAGCAAAGUCAAUAUCAUUGGAGAAGGAAGAACCGGAACCAUGUACAAAGCAAUGAUUCCAGAUGGUAUUUCCCUCAUGGUCAAGAGGCUGCAAGACUCUCAACACUUGGAGAAAGAAUUUGUGUCAGAGAUGAAUACACUUGGGAGUGUCAGACACCGCAAUUUGGUUCCCCUGUUGGGUUUUUGCAUGGCUAAGAAGGAGAAACUUUUGGUCUACAAAUACAUGGAGAACGGAACACUCUAUGACAAACUGCAUCCAGUGGAACCAGAGGUCAGAAACAUGGAUUGGCCCCUAAGGCUCAAAAUUGCGAUUGGAGCAGCUAAAGGUUUAGCAUGGCUUCAUCAUAACUGCAACCCUCGAAUUAUUCACAGAAACAUAAGCUCCAAAUGCAUACUGCUGGAUGAGAAUUUUGAGCCAAAGCUGUCUGAUUUCGGCCUUGCAAGGCUGAUGAAUCCAGUUGACACCCAUUUGAGUACCUUCGUGAAUGGGGAGUUUGGGGACUUGGGCUAUGUAGCUCCCGAGUAUCCACGGACCCUGGUAGCCACCCUGAAGGGGGAUGUUUAUAGCUUUGGGGUAGUUCUUCUGGAGUUGGUCACGGGUGAAAAACCCACUCAUGUUGCCAAUGCCCCUGAAACCUUCAAGGGAAGUUUAGCAGAGUGGAUCACGCAGCUUUCAAGUAAUUCUCUCCUUCAUACUGCCAUCGAUAAGUCUUUGCUCGGGAAUGAUUUUGAUAGCGAACUCAAACAGUUUCUUAGAGUUGCUUGUAACUGUGUGGUUCCAACUGCAAAGGAGAGGCCUACCAUGUUUGAGGUGUACCAGCUUCUGAGAGCUGUUGGGGAAAGAUAUCACUUCACAACAGAGGAUGAAAUGAUGUUGCCAUCCGAAACUGGUGAUGCUGAUUCUCCUGAUGAACUUAUUGUUGCUCAAUAUGUGAAGGAGGCUCAAUGAAAGGCAGGCAGAGUGUGAUGCUAAUAUAAAAAGGCAAUUGAAGAUAUUUAACUUCUUGGUGCCGCAGUGUAGCAUCUAGGAUUGUAUGUAAUAUACUCAAUAGUAUUUUAAGCUCCUAUGUUCACUUUUCUAUUGAUAGAAACACCAAUUGUAUAUAUACUAC